UCCGGCGUCGCCCAAUAGGCAGGGCAGCGGCCUGUUAAGCCGUACGGUGAUGGUUCGAGUCCAUCCGCCGGAG
rnacentral:tRNA from 1 species